UACGUAGGGGGCUAGCGUUGUCCGGAAUCAUUGGGCGUAAAGCGCGUGUAGGCGGUCCGGUAAGUCCGCUGUGAAAGUCGAGGGCUCAACCCUCGAAUGCCGGUGGAUACUGUCGGGCUUGAGUACGGGAGAGGCGAGUGGAAUUCCUGGUGUAGCGGUGAAAUGCGCAGAUAUCAGGAAGAACACCGACGGCGAAGGCAGCUCGCUGGGACGGUACUGACGCUGAGACGCGAAAGCGUGGGGAGCGAACAGG
rnacentral:rRNA from 1 species